GAUGAACGCUGGCGGCGUGCUUAACACAUGCAAGUCGAACGGGAAUUAUUUUAUUGAAGCUUCGGUCGAUUUAAUUUAAUUCUAGUGGCGGACGGGUGAGUAACGCGUGGGUAACCUGCCUUAUACAGGGGGAUAACAGUCAGAAAUGGCUGCUAAUACCGCAUAAGCGCACAGAGCUGCAUGGCUCAGUGUGAAAAACUCCGGUGGUAUAAGAUGGACCCGCGUUGGAUUAGCUGGUUGGUGGGGUAACGGCCCACCAAGGCGACGAUCCAUAGCCGGCCUGAGAGGGUGAACGGCCACAUUGGGACUGAGACACGGCCCAGACUCCUACGGGAGGCAGCAGUGGGGAAUAUUGCACAAUGGGGGAAACCCUGAUGCAGCGACGCCGCGUGAAGGAAGAAGUAUCUCGGUAUGUAAACUUCUAUCAGCAGGGAAGAUAGUGACGGUACCUGACUAAGAAGCCCCGGCUAACUACGUG
rnacentral:rRNA from 1 species